rnacentral:lncRNA from 1 species
GCCAUUAGUGAAAGAAAAAGGAAACUAAACAUUCACAAGUAAUAUGAUUCAUUUUAGAUCAUAUACAUUGCAUUCAUCUAGUAAUUUAUCAAAUUCUUGCAUUCAUUACAUCAUUUCAUCAUUUCUUUCUUACAUCACUCUUACCUCAAAAUAAGCUUUACAUUCUUUCUUUACAUCACUAAAUCAUCAAAUACAAAAGAUGAUAAAAGG